rnacentral:lncRNA from 1 species
GUGGGGUUAAACAUGUUUGUGAGAUCUCAACCCUCCCCCUAUACCUCUAGCCAAUGAAGAAAAGUAAACGCAUAACAAUACGCACAUUAAAAUUCAGUUCAAGAAAAGUCCGAGUCUGAUGUCAGAAGAUCUGACUAAAGAAAAUAAACAAAACGACAAUAAUACAUAAAUAACAACAGACUACUAGCAGUUAACUGUCAUGCCAGCUCCAGAC